rnacentral:tRNA from 1 species
GCCUCAGUGGUGUAGUGGUCAGCACACUUGACGGAUAAUCGAGAGGUCCGUGGUUCGAUUCCCGGCGAAGGCG